GCUGGCCCUUCAUCCUAUCAUCUGAUGCAAUUCAGUGGAAACUUUAAAUGAAAAAAGAAUCUUAGGAUACAGAAAGGCUGGAAAUGACUCUCCCUGAAGUUAAUUCCUCAAUUGUCCUUGCACUGUCAGAUGCCUUUCUUUCUGAAGGAUUUCCUUAAUCCGCUGUGGUACUUUAAGUGGCUGUCUUGAUAACACCAAAUGUCAUCUGGCAAGUGAAUGACCUUACCUGCUAUCCACAUAUAUUGUCAGAGGGAACUGUGAACUUUGUUUUGGCUUUAAUUUUAAGAGCCUGAAUCCCAAGGCAGAUAUCACAAACAUGAAGACCUAUCCUAUUCCUGCUUCUGUACAUUGCUGGAGAAUAAUAGAAUUAUUGCUCUUUUUAUUUGUGUUUAUUUUUCUAUUUUUGGAAGAGCUACUCAUUGUUAAGUGAUAGAGAAAGAAUGCCAAUAAACCAAUACCUGGGUGAAUCAUGGACUGAGAGUAACCCUGCUGCGGAUGCUACAAAGAUACUGCUG
rnacentral:lncRNA from 1 species